ensembl:lncRNA
CGAGAGUUCAGGGUUUAGUUCACGGUAAGUUAACCCUGCUUUCUGGAAUACACCCCAGGGUGACAUUAAACAAGGACUCCGUAACAAUGACAGAACAACCGGGGUAUUUAUACACAGGCAAAUGACAAUACUAACGGGGAAUUGGCUAAGUGCAAUGAUUAAUGACCAGGGACAGCUGAGUGCAAUGAGGAGACAGGGGAAGUGAGACCUCAAGUGGACACCCAGGGAACACAAACCAGACACUGUGACACGAACACAACAGUUACAUGUAAACAAUCAGUUACAGUUACAUGUAAACACAUUCGGGUAAUUACAUUGAUUGUGAUGCACGCACACAUAUACACAAUGUACACUUAGAAGAUAUAAUCCACUCAUUUCCUCUCUAAACUAUAUAAUGCACAUCCAAACUCUCUCUGUUCUACCACUCACUUUCCCGCUCCGUUACCUGGAAACCUGAGUGCCGUUACAUGGAGUGCGAACUUUGACAAUCCAUUUCAGUCCAAAUUAUGUGUGCGGGAAAGUCCAUGUUUCGGGGGGAAUACUUUGUACAACUACGUUACAAUACAGAUAUUUUUUGCUGUAAUAAAAAUCAACCUAAGCGAACAAUUAAUAUUACUAAUGUUAAUUAUUAAUAAAAUUACUUAAAAUACAUAUAUAAUAGCAAUGAAAAAUAAUAAUUAGUUCAAAUAAAGUAUCAAAAGCAAGUAAUCUAAAUGUUUUCUUUUUUUUUUUUUUACAAAACUGGUAAAAGUAAUGUAUUAUAAACAAUAGAACUAAUGUUACGCAUUAUAACGAAUGACUGCAGAGGCGCAGACGGCCUGACGAUUGUUUUUACAUUUUACUGCACAAUCUAAUCCUUGUUUAUUAUUGACUAAACAACAUUUACUUCCAAUAUCCACUUAAUCUGUAAUAUUUGGCCAUUUCUUUACGACAGAAAGGGUUUAAACUUUUAUUUUGAAAUCGGAUGAACAGUUCGCAUAUUAAGAAGGAUACUGAUGUUUUGUCCUGUAUUUGUGUAGGUUUAGAAAUGAUUUACCUUACAAAUCUGAUGAAAUGGCGCACGUUGCGUUCCCAGAUGAAUGUUGUAAUAAACCCAAACUCAUAACAAUAUGCAGAGAUGGAGUGUGAGACGCUCCACAAAUGUGAAUGAUAACAGUUUGUGUGGAGCAGCAUUUACUGUGAAUGGAGCUGCUCUGAGAUGCAUGUUACUAACCUACAUGCAUGUAAAUAAUUAAAGCGCAUAUAUUAAACCUGCAUCGCAUAUAUUUAAUUAAAUCGUAGCAUUUAUGAAUUCACAAUAGCAUUGUGCUAUGUUCAUUAUUAUUCGACACGGGUAAAAUGUAAUCGAGGAUUUUUUUUAAUUGAGUUCUUGAUUUGAAUCGAGAAAUCGUGACCCUAUUUUGCGGGUUAUCAAACAUGCCAUUCCUUGAUGUUUCGUCCCAUGAAGCCCAUGAUACCUCGAGGGGCUAGAAGCAGCAUUUUAAUUAAAUUCCUUAUUUUACUAUGUGGUCGUAAAUGUAGGCUAUUGAUUGGAAAGUAAACCACUGUCACACUAUUUGUUCUCCUGUUUUGUUUCUUGACCUACUUUUCCUUAGUUCCCUUGAUUAGUUCAUUCUGUUCACCUGUGUUUGAUAAUUAUCCUCAUUUGGUCUGUGUAUUUAAGUUGCUCUCUUUCAGUUCUUCCUGGCCAGUUAGUGCUGCUUGUGUUUCCCUGUGUGUUCUUGGAUCUCUCUUUUCUCCUUGAACUAUUAUUUAACGCUAUUUGAAUCAUCUCUGUGCGCCUAUCUCCCACACGAGAGCCCUAACGACCAUGUUUAAAAUAAAAUUUGUUUCAUGUACAACAUUUUGACUGAAAAGGUUCAGUACAUUGUAGUUUUAAAGCAGAAGAGUCAAACAUUCCCUACUUAAUCAUAUUUUAUUUCAAGACAUUAGUCAGGUUUUUGAAGUUAAAACACUUUCUUGCAGAACUGUUUUCUUACGCAUUCCUGAUUCCAAAACACAUGUCAGAAACAUUUCUGUCUUUUGCUUUUUCUUAUUCCAUUUGAAGUUCAAUAAGGUUUAUAAACCUGUAAUACUGAUGUAUUUCUGGCAUCUGGUAAGAAGACAUAAAGCAUGCAUUUUUUCCCCCAAAGGUGCAGUUUGCUCAAGUUCUGCCACCACAGCCCUGUGAUUUCAGGCCCAAUCAUUUCCACGAUCUCAACAGCUCAGAGAUCCCUGUGGCCAGCAGUUCUUCCUUUCAUCAUCCUGCAGACCCUCCUCCACAAUACACUGAAUCCAAAUAAGUAUUAAAAAGUGGACAGUGUGCCCAUAUGAAAGAAAAAUAUAUGGGAAUGUUUUGGAAAAUAUAAUGCAGUUUAUUAAACAAUACAUUUCUAUAUAUGGGAAAGCAGCGCUUAUAUUUUUCAAUAUACUGCAGUAUAGUCAUAGAUCACGUAUGGAUGUGUUUUGAUGCAUUUAAAAAAUACUGCAGUAUAAUUUUACAUGUAAUCGUUUUAUUGAAACACGCAUUUUCUCUUUCAAAAGUUACAGCUGAACACAUAUUCAUAAACUUUUCUAUAACUGUAUUUUUUGCAUAUCUACACAUUUCAUGAAUAAAAAUAUGUGACCUGUAAUAGAAAAGUGUGUCCUGAACACAAAGUUUUUUGUUUUUGGACAAUUGGAUGUCUUAAAUGUCAGAUCUCUUUUUCUAAGCACCAUGAUUUUAUCACUUUAUUGAGUGCUUUAUACACUAUAUCAAUACAAAUUUAUAUUUUCCUCAUAAUUGUGUACUUUUCUAGUGCACGUACCUGUUCCAGUAUAUAUAUGUGUGUACGUAUACAAACAGUUUAUCAUAUGUUUAUCUAUGUAUUAUGAAGAAUAUUAUUGAAUACAUACAUUACAUUACAAUACAUAAACAAAUAUAUUGUCACAUUUUUCAAUAUAUGAAAACCAGUGAUUCCUUCUGUAUACAUUAAACAAUUGAGUAUAUUGAUUGUUAAUAUACCAGACAAUGUAUUUUCUUUGGUCCUGCCGUUGUGUGUGAAUCUGUCGUGCGACACAUGGGUUUUUC